GAAAUGCGAUAAGUAAUGUGAAUUGCAGAAUUCAGUGAAUCAUCGAAUCUUUGAACGCAUCUUGCGCUCCUUGGUAUUCCGAGGAGCAUGCCUGUUUGAGUGUCAUUUAAACUCUCAAACCACAUCAUUCGUUUGACGUGGCUUUGGACGUGGGGGUUGCUGGCUUUCUUCAGCCUGCUCCUCUGAAAAGCAUUAGUGGUAUCUGGAGUGGAAAACCGCUAGGUGUGAUAAUACUGUCUAUGCCUUUGGUUUAUGCCGCAUGUGCUGCUUCCAACCGCACAUUUUUUUGACAAACUUGACCUCAAAUCAGGUAGGACUACCCGCUGAACUUAA
rnacentral:misc_RNA from 1 species